AUAUUUAUCAAUUGAAUAAAGUCUAUUUUGAAUUUUUUUUUUUUAAGUUCUCCCAGGACGAGGCUAUCCCAUUGCACUUCGGGUGUGCUGAUGCCUGCGAUGUCCCCAAAUGCGGGAUACUCGACUGCAAAAUGUUGUGGUAGCGGGGGACUGCGUUCGCGUUCUCCCCUG